AACUCUGUGUCUGGGCUGUGGGGGACAGAGGAGAGUUAGGAUCUGAACCGCUCAGGGACAAGGUGAACUCUGUGUCUGGGCUGUGGGGGACAGAGGAGAGUUAGGAUCUGAACCGCUCAGGGACAAGGUGAACUCUGUGUCUGGGCUGUGGGGGACAGAGGAGAGUUAGGAUCUGAACCGCUCAGGGACAAGGUGAACUCUGUGUCUGGGCUGUGGGGGACAGAGGAGAGUUAGGAUCUGAACCGCUCAGGGACAAGGUGAACUCUGUGUCUGGGCUGUGGGGGACAGAGGAGAGUUAGGAUCUGAACCGCUCAGGGACAAGGUGAACUCUGUGUCUGGGCUGUGGGGGACAGAGGAGAGUUAGGAUCUGAACCGCUCAGGGAAAAGGUGAACUCUGUGUCUGGGCUGUGGGGGACAGAGGAGAGUUAGGAUCUGAACCGCUCAGGGACAAGGUGAACUCUGUGUCUGG